rnacentral:piRNA from 1 species
GUUGGGAUCUCUGCGGAAGGGGU